GUUAUUUCCGUAUUCUUUGAAGCCUGGUAAAACAGUUUUUCUUUUUAAUUUGACUUUUGAAUCUUUGUUUGCAGGUGUUUGAAUCACAAUGUCAAAAUAGUUUGUAAAUUUGAUUGUUAGAUCAUUCCACAUAAUUUGUAGAUCGAACAUGUUAUAGGUAAGUUUAAUCAAGAAUCUAUGAAAAGAUCUAAGACAACACUCUUCAUUCGACAACUAAGGUAUGAAUUGAAUCAGUGGUCUCGAGCUUCUUCUCAGGUCCAUGAAUGUGAUUGA
rnacentral:lncRNA from 1 species